rnacentral:antisense_RNA from 1 species
AUAUUCAGACUACUUGAUUUUUAAAAAAUUAUGGUCAGUCUAAUGCUUCUUUAAUAAGCUUCUUCUGCUCUGGUGUGAGAGACUUUGGAAAACAAAUAUCAAAUUCAAGUAUUAGGUCUCCUUUUUGUCCUGGCUGAUUCUUUAUUGGCAUCCCUUCAUUUGGAACAAUUUUUCUUGUCUUUGGAUUUACAAUUUCCUUGAUUGGGAUCUGUAAGUUACGAUUGUCAAGAGUUGUCACAGGACAUGUAAAACCUGUUAGCGCUCUAACUAAGGGGAUAGUUACCUUCAUAAUAAGAUGGCAGUCAUCUCUUGUGAAUCUGGGGUGAGUCUUUGUUUGAAUUAUAAGUACUAAAUCUCCAGGCGACGUUCCAGGUGAUUCCUGAUCACCUUCUCCAGAAUAUGUUAACUUGGUCCCGUCUUUCCAGCCAGGUUUUAUUUCUACCUCGACUAUAUUUUCUUCAUUCCUCACUUUAUGUUCUAUAAACCUUUUUCUUGUAACCUUAAUUUUCUUACGUUUCCCUAAGUAUAGCUCUUCUAAAGUUACCAAUAAUGGGACUUCGUGCGAUCUUGGGGCGUGUCUAGUUGAAGAACGCCCAUUAUGCGUAGAUGACAUGUGUACUUGUCUGAACAUUCCACUUGGGCCACUAAAGAAAAAUGAGCUUCCUUCUUCAUCACCAAAACUACCUGCCCUAUCUGAGGCGAAAAAUCGUGCAAAAAUUUCAUUUGGAUCAAUGAAUAUUCCCCCACCCAUUCCUCCUUGAUCUGAUGUAGGACCUCCAAAUCCAGCUUGUAAUCCUUCCGAGCCAUAUUGAUUAUAUAUAUUUCGUUUCUCUUUAUCGCUCAAAACCUCAUAAGCUUCACCCAGUUCUUUGAACAUCUCUUCAGCCUUUUUCUUACCCUCAGGAGUAGAAUUUGCUUGCUUAUCGGGAUGGUAUUUAAUAGCAAGUUUUCUAUAGGCACGCUUGAUAUCUUGAUCAGAUGCGUCCUUAGAAAUACCCAGAAUUUUGUAAUAAUCCUACAAAUUAGAUAAUGUAACAGUUAAAAACUUUAAACGAAAAACUAGCAACUUACCUUACCC